AGGAUUCCCCUAGUAACGGCGAGUGAACCGGGAAGAGCUCAAAUUUGAAAUCUGGCAGUCUUCGAUUGUCCGAGUUGUAAUCUAUAGAAGCGUUUUCCGUGCUGAACUGUGUAUAAGUCCCUUGGAACAGGGUAUCAAAGAGGGUGACAAUCCCGUACUUUACACAAUCAUCAGUGCUCUGUGAUACGUUCUCUACGAGUCGAGUUGUUUGGGAAUGCAGCUCAAAAUGGGUGGUAAAUUCCAUCUAAAGCUAAAUAUUGGCGAGAGACCGAUAGCGAACAAGUACCGUGAGGGAAAGAUGAAAAGCACUUUGGAAAGAGAGUUAAACAGUACGUGAAAUUGUUGAAAGGGAAACGAAAUUCAUGAAUCAUGUUUAUUGGACUCAGCCGUUCUUCGGUGUACUUCCUUUAAACGGGUCAACAUCAGUUUUGUCCGAUGGAUAAAGGUAGUAGGAAGGUGGCUCUCUCGGGAGUGUUAUAGCCUAUUGCUGCAUACAUUGGAUGAGACUGAGGACUGCAGCUUGCCUUUAUGGCCGGGGUUCGCCCACGUCAAGCUUAGGAUGUG
rnacentral:rRNA from 1 species